rnacentral:lncRNA from 10 species
AAGAGGUAUAGGUUUUGUGUGUGUGUUUUAUUUCCCAGUCCUGUAAAUCAGAUGCCCACUUUGCCAAAGUGAAAGACAGAGGGUGAGGUGUCUUCUGUCUGUCAGCGCUGUUUCAUUCUGCUCAGCUGAACACAGACCAUCACCAGACCUACAAAAACACCAGGCAGUAAAUCAAUAGACAGAAGUUACCAGGAGGCUUUCUGAGACCUUGUUCUUGGCUCAUUUUUACAUCUCAGGUUCAAAUUCCACUUCUAUUAACUUUUAAAACAUCUGGUUGUUUGGAGAGAAGAAAUAAUAUUAUCACUUCUGUAACUAAUAGCAUGGUGACCUUGCAAAAAAGAAAUCAACAUGGAAUAUGCUGACCAUCCAGACACAGUUCUGAGAACUCUAUAUACCCCGUCCCUCUCUUUAAUUUGGGCAGAGCUGAAUUUGAAAGUUAAUGCUUAGCUGCGUCUUCCUGCCCGAUUCUCCAAGCUUGUGCCUGCAUGCUGGCCAGAGGAGUGAGCACUGGGGCAGCCGGGUUGAGGAAACAGUAACUGGAGGGUGGGAUCCUCGCCGCCCCGGCAUGGUUUAUUCUGUGCUAUCAUGCAGAAUGAAGAGGGCUGCUGGGGACACUAGUUACUCAUUCACCACUCCCACUGGGACCUCGCUCGGGCUCAAUGGACUGUGGUGUGAUUAUUUGUCGGCGGAUUCUGCCCACGUCCCUUCAGCGUAAACACUGGCAUCUCUGAAGCUGGCUUUGUCUCCCACCCCAUUGUCGGGUUCCUGCUGCAGUUCUGCAUUUUGAGGUCCUUAAAGAACUUCAUAAAGGAGAAGAGACAAGAAAAGGGACAGUCAGACAGGACACACUGAUUGUACUAUUCUAACCAGUCCAUCCAAUUCCAAGUAGGUCCUGCAUCUUGAAGAGAUAAUGAAAGGUUAAGAUGCAGCUGUGCCCCUUUGACCUGCUACCUUAUCCUGAGAGUAUUAUGAUUAAAAAAAAAAAAGCCAUUUGUAGGUUCAUCGAUUGUAAAAAUGGACCACUCUGGUGCAGGAUGUUCAUAGUGGGGGAAGAUGGGGGGUGGCAGGGACAGGGAGUGUAUAAGAAAUCUUUGUAUUUUCUGCUCAAUUUUGCUGGGAACCUAACACUGCUCUAAAAAACAAAGUCCAUUAAAGACUAAAAGAAAUAAAAAGAUAUGAGGAAAUCUCCCUACUCAAAACAGUUUCAU